AAGAGCUUGUUACUAUUAAGUACAGUAUCCUAUAGCAGCCUACAUGACCACACAAAAAUAAAAAUUGAGGUAUGGUCACAGCCUCGGGGCGUUGUAAAUUUCCAGACUGUGCGCAUUUGACAAAGAACUGAAAAAAGAUUGAACAUACCGGUAAUUUCCUUUUAAGGCACUACCCAAUCUGAUUGUAGGCUGACUGUUUCAAUAAUAGUUAUGGUAGCAAAUUCAGCACACGUUUCUAAUGGUUCGCUAUGCCGCGCGCCAGUGCCACGUCAGAUUCUUCAAAUCCUUAUGAUGACAUUACUCAAAACGACGUCAAUGCACCAGACUAUAAUAAUGUUUGAACUUUACAAUACAGUAAUGCAGUCACAUAGCCAAGCUUUGAUGCUGACUUACACAGCAAGUCAGGAUGACUGAAGCGCAAUUCGUUUCCACACAAAAAAAUCUAGAGCUCUAGAACUAGAACUACAUUACUGCGCUUGCUUGGGAAGAAGUUGCAAAUAGUCGUGAAAUAAACUAAAUGUUUUUUUGGUGAGAACUUGGUAUUACGUGAACGGUUUAAUCAAAACCCGUUAUCAGUGCUUAAAUCGGCAAGUUAGCGUCAGAAAACAAGAGUCCAGCUGCUGCUGCGUGCAUCACAUAUUUGUGCAGCCUAGCAUUUGCUAACAUCCCAAAUCGUAAGGUUCGGCUCAACUUACCUCAGAAACACAUGGCUCCCAAUAAUUGCUUACAUCAAACACAACGAGAAGGCAGACAAGACAAACCCUUUCUGUGGCGUCACGCAACAGACUGAAGAACCGGAUGAAGCCUAAAUUGAGGGGCAUGGGUGUCGCCAUCUUCGCGAAUUUAUCCGAGGUAGCGAUUCUGGAAUUUUUAUUUUUAUUGUUAUCAACAAAAAAUCAGCCACCAAGUGACCACAAACCCACAGUAACGAAACACAUUAAACUCCUUCUGAAAAUGUUGUAUGAGUAUAAACUAAUCUUCUGCGCCCACCAAUGGACACACGAGAUAUUGCAAGUAACAGGAACGAUGACUUCAGUGUUACAUCAAGUUUUAUCCUGGCACAUUUAUAUUUAUUUCUGAUCCUUCACUAUGUUCACAAUUAUUUAGGGCGGGCACAAAUGACCAUUUUGUUGUGUUUAGUCAAAGACUAACUUUGUAAGUACACCUUUGAUGACAAGAACGUGGUAACCGGAAAUAUGUUGGUGGUUUGCUUGGUCGGAUUCAUAAUUUGUUCAAUAAUAUCCGAAAUAAAAAAAAUUAAGAAGGUACGUCAUUGAGUUUGUAUAAUGCCAGAAACUAUAAAAUAACACGAAAACAAAUACCAACGCAUCCUGCUAGAACAUUUCCACAACACAAUCCAUUUACUCAGCCAUAUCUUUAAUGACAAAAAUCAUUCUUACAGGAUCAUUUCCAAUAAUGACUACAGACACCAAUACAUAAUCUAUCGCCAGCAGACUAUGCAUGUAAAAUAAAAGAAAAAACAAA